rnacentral:rRNA from 1 species
GAUGAACGCUGGCGGCGUGCCUAAUACAUGCAAGUCGAGCGAACGGACGAGAAGCUUGCUUCUCUGAUGUUAGCGGCGGACGGGUGAGUAACACGUGGAUAACCUACCUAUAAGACUGGGAUAACUUCGGGAAACCGUAGCUAAUACCGGAUAAUAUUUUGAACCGCAUGGUUCAAAAGUGAAAGACGGUCUUGCUGUCACUUAUAGAUGGAUCCGCGCUGCAUUAGCUAGUUGGUAAGGUAACGGCUUACCAAGGCAACGAUGCAUAGCCGACCUGAGAGGGUGAUCGGCCACACUGGAACUGAGACACGGUCCAGACUCCUACGGGAGGCAGCAGUAGGGAAUCUUCCGCAAUGGGCGAAAGCCUGACGGAGCAACGCCGCGUGAGUGAUGAAGGUCUUCGGAUCGUAAAACUCUGUUAUUAGGGAAGAACAUAUGUGUAAGUAACUGUGAACAUCUUGACGGUACCUAAUCAGAAAGCCACGGCUAACUACGUG